AAGUUGUUGCAGUUAAAAAGCUCGUAGUUGGACUUUGGGAUGGGCCGACCGGUCCGCCUUAGGUGUGCACCGGUCGUCUCGUCCCUUCUGUCGACAAUGCGCUCCUGGCCUUAAUUGGCCGGGUCGUGCCUCUGGCGCUGUUACUUUGAAGAAAUUAGAGUGCUCAAAGCAAGCCUACGCUCUGUAUACAUUAGCAUGGGAUAACAUUAUAGGAUUUCAGUCCAUUUUCCAUUUUUAUCAAAUUGGAGCUCGG
rnacentral:ncRNA from 1 species